CCGAAAGGAAAGAAGGCCAAGGGAAAGAAGGUGGCUCCGGCCCCUGCUGUCGUGAAGAAGCAGGAGGCUAAGAAAGUGGUGAAUCCCCUGUUUGAGAAAAGGCCUAAGAAUUUUGGCAUUGGACAGGACAUCCAGCCCAAAAGAGACCUCACCCGCUUUGUGAAAUGGCCCCGCUAUAUCAGGUUGCAGCGGCAGAGAGCCAUCCUCUAUAAGCGGCUGAAAGUGCCUCCUGCGAUUAACCAGUUCACCCAGGCCCUGGACCGCCAAACAGCUACUCAGCUGCUUAAGCUGGCCCACAAGUACAGACCAGAGACAAAGCAAGAGAAGAAGCAGAGACUGUUGGCCCGGGCCGAGAAGAAAGCUGCUGGCAAAGGGGACGUCCCCACGAAGAGACCACCUGUCCUUCGAGCAGGUGAGUAGGCCCCACCUUAGGGUGAACACUGGGGGCGGGCUGUUGCAGUGAUGUAAAAUUUCUUCGCCUGAGAUUACUGUGAAGAGUAAAACCGAGCUUUUUAACACUGAGUCAACAGCUGAGCCCAGCAGCUUCUUGUGACUAGAGCAGGCCCUGUGAGUGCUCACAAAGUGGUUGUGUGUUCUAGGAGUUAACACCGUCACCACCUUGGUGGAGAACAAGAAAGCUCAGCUGGUGGUGAUUGCACACGACGUGGAUCCCAUCGAGGUGCGUUUGCCUGUUGACUGCUAACCCAAGGGCUUCUGGCAGUACCAGGAAAAGAGUAGACC
rnacentral:sRNA from 1 species